UGGAUGCUGACGAGCGGCGGACGGGUGAGUAAUGCAUAGGAAUCUGCCCGAUAGUGGGGGAUAACCUGGGGAAACCCAGGCUAAUACCGCAUACGUCCUACGGGAGAAAGGGGGCUCCGGCUCCCGCUAUGGGAUGAGCCUAUGUCGGAUUAGCUAGUUGGUGAGGUAACGGCUCACCAAGGCGACGAUCCGUAGCUGGUCUGAGAGGAUGAUCAGCCACAUCGGGACUGAGACACGGCCCGAACUCCUACGGGAGGCAGCAGUGGGGAAUAUUGGACAAUGGGGGAAACCCUGAUCCAGCCAUGCCGCGUGUGUGAAGAAGGCCCUCGGGUUGUAAAGCACUUUCAGCGAGGAAGAACGCCUAGCGGUUAAUACCCGCUAGGAAAGACAUCACUCGCAGAAGAAGCACCGGCUAACUCCGUGCCAGCAGCCGCGGUAAUACGGAGGGUGCAAGCGUUAAUCGGAAUUACUGGGCGUAAAGCGCGCGUAGGUGGCUUGAUAAGCCGGUUGUGAAAGCCCCGGGCUCAACCUGGGAACGGCAUCCGGAACUGUCAAGCUAGAGUGCAGGAGAGGAAGGUAGAAUUCCCGGUGUAGCGGUGAAAUGCGUAGAGAUCGGGAGGAAUACCAGUGGCGAAGGCGGCCUUCUGGA
rnacentral:rRNA from 1 species